GAGAACUGGAGCUGAGGAGCAGGUGAGGGCGGGAGAGAAGAUGGCAAGCUGACACAGCUCCCUGUCCCCAAGCCUUCCCCGUCUAGUUGGGGUGAGACUGGGGGAGGGAAGGUGAAGACAGACACAGAAAUAUCUCAUGCAAUUGUCCCUGUACAUUGGCAACAAGGAACAGAGAAGGUCAGUAAACUGCUCAGGUGACACAAAAAUUGGGUGGCAACACGUAGAUUUGAACCUGGGUACAAUCCAGAGCCUGUCCAGAAAGUGGAAGACGGAGAGGCUAGAAUAUGGAAAGAAAGGCAGAGAAAGAGACAGAGAGACAGCAACAGAAGAACAGAGAGAGAUUUAAAUCACUGAUUUGCCACUUUUUCCCCUACCAGGAAAACAAAAAUAUGUUCCAUUUUUGAGAAUUGAGGACGGGGAGGGAGUAGACAACAGUGGCCAGCAGAAGGAUCGUGGUUGUAGCUAUAAAUAACUGUCCCCAAAGAAAACACCUGUCAAGAUGCAUUCCCUUCCUGGGAGAGAAAUUGUGUUCCUGGUCCAGUCUGCAAUCUGCCGGCGUGCAGGAGGAGAAACAUGGAAAUGAGAACUAGCAGAACAUUGAGGAGGAAGAAAUGAUAAACUAUUUAUCCCCCGACUCCACCUCCACACCCUGGCACCUUAAAUCCAAUUUCAAACAAAGGUGGGGACUGAUUGGAACGGGCCUGCACAUCUCUGCUCUGGGCCUCUGCCGGCUAAUUGAAAUGAACAGUCCUCGCGGAAUGGGAUGAUUUUUGUGUCUUCUGGAGUCAUUUGCCAAACAAUUACAGGGAACAGUCAACCACAAGUGAGAGGGUCCAUUUCAAUGGGGACCAAACUGGGAUCCUCUGUGCUUGCCGGGAGGCAAAGGUGUGUUUAUGGUUGUCUUACUGAUGACCACUGGCCCAGGUCUGGGCAUCGCUACAGCAGAAGCGUGCAAAAGAUUGUUGGUAUCAUCCACGCAUCCCAGCAUUUCGCGCAUUAUGAUCUCGGUGACCCCUAGAACUGGCUCAGGACCUGGCACAUAGCAGGUGCUAAGCAAAUGUAUGUGGAUUUUUCUGAAUAUGUGGAUUCAGGAAUAUUAAAGGAUAUUUAGAAAAGCCACAAGUCAUCAGCCAACACAGACCCAAGUUACUAUUCCCCUUCUUGCCCUGAAUUUUAUCUGCAGUAAUACUGAAUUAAUUACUGACUGCCCCCCUCCCUUUUCUUGCAUCCUCAAAGCCAAUAAUGUAGCACAGCCCACUCAUACUGGCUCUUGAGAACCAGUCAUGUGCAUCUCUUCUCAAAUUCACAUUCAGUGAUGCUGUGCCGAUAGCCUGAUAGGCUGUGGUGAGAAUAUUUACACCAUGGAAAUUGGCAAAUCAGGCAGAUUUGUCUUUCAUGGGGGAUGGGGGAUAGCCAGUCAAGCAUUUACCAGCACGCUGCUGCCCAAAGCACACAGGCACAGGCUGUGCUAGUGCUUGUCUUGUAUUCAUACCACCCCCUACUCCUGGAAAGGCUUUAUCUGGUUAAUGUCUUCCCCUCCCUAGGACUUGGCUCAGGCUCUUCCUCUUCCAGGCAGCCUCCCUGGAUUAUGAAGACCACAUUCAGUAACUCUUCUGACCUUGAUCAUAGCUUUGGAUGUGGCUUUUUUUUUUUUUUUUUUUUUUGCUAUCACUUGAGUAAUUUGGAAUCUCUCUCUCACCAGGACAUGAGCUCUAUUAGGGUAGAAACCAUAUCUUCACCUCUGUAUUUCCAUGGCCCCCAGCACAGACUAGGUAAUAAGCAAAUACUCAGCCAAUGAAAGAAUUAAUCACAUUUAACACCAUCCACCAACCUUAGGGCUACAAACUUUGCAGUGAAUGAAUAGCAGGAUCCACCUGCCCAAACAAUGGCCAAUAAGGGAAAUAGGAAACUACUCAUGAGAUGAGAGUAGCUAAUAUUUACUGAGGAGAAAUUAUAUGCUGGGGUGCUUUUAUUAUAUAUAAAAUUAUAUGGAGCCAGGAGCCUGAAUCACCAGGACCCUGGCAGGCAGAGGACUCAGUCUUCCCAUUUUACAAUCAGGUAAUAGAGGCUCAGGGAAAGUCAGUAAUUUGCCCAAGGUCCCACAGCUAGGAAACGAUGGAACUGGACUUUGAACUCAGGCAGUCUAACUUCAGAGUCCUUAUAUUUAGCAGAUACACUGCAUCCUAGGAGGACAGAUGAGCCCCAAGCCAAGAAGGAAGGGACAGGUCUGGCAAGGCGUCAGGGAGAAGACAGACUGUAGCACAGGAGACGGUGGAGGGAAAUAAACUAUGUGAAGGGGUGGCCUUUCUGGGGCCGAGGACCUGCGGGGUAGGGCAGGGAAGUGAGGCUGCCCCCUCGGAAAGCAAGCAGGGAGGUGGUGUGCCAGGCGUCUCUGGGUUCUAAGCAGCGAGGCUGAUUUAUAGAUCCCCAUGGCAACUGCUAAGCAAUAAUCUCUUACUCCACAGCUCAGUGCUUCUCUAGAAAUUCUUUCCUCCUCCCUUCACUGCCACUCCCCCUAGCCCACGGAGGCAAGGUGACAGCUUCUUCCCCAGGAGAAACUGUGCUGGAGAAGAAAGGAUGGGCCCAGGAGAAGGGACAUUGGAGUGGAGCGGUGGGGGAGGCAUAAGAAAAGAGAAAGAGGGGCUUAAGACCCCAAAGGUCCAAUCAUCAGAUUGGAAAAGGAUUGCAGAAGGGGGUUUUCAGACCACCAUAAAAAUCUCACGAAAACCAUGAAUUACCGCCCUCGAAAAAUGUGACCAUGCACAUAUACUCACACAUACAGAGUUUUGUGUAGUUUCAGGGAGUGUGUAAAUCCCUUGGGACCUAAAGUAGAAAAUUAAAAAAAUCAUCUAAUCUAGUGGCUUCCAAAUUAGGACAAUGGAAUCCUAUCUUUAAUCAAGGCCAAAUGUGAUGCCUCUAAUAGUGGGUUCCCAUCAGGGGCAAUCUUGCACCCCAGGGGGCAUUUAGCAAUGUCUGGAGAUAUUUUUGGUUGUCACAACUGGGGGGAGGGAGAGGUUCUACUGGCACCUACUGGGUAGAGACAGGGGAUGCUGCUCAAUAUCCUACACAGCACAGAACAGCUCCCACCAUGAUACGAAAGGAUUUGACCAAAAAGGUUAGUAGUGCCAAGGUUGAUAAACCUUGGUAUAAUAUCGAAAAAGGGGAGCUAUUCAUUCAUUCAUUCAUUCAUUCAUUCACUCAUUCAGUGAAGUGGAUGAGGAGUGGGGGUAUGGAGCUCCUCUUGCAUCAGACAAACCUGACUCCCAUUUAGACUCAGCUGUGACCUGGGGCCAACUGUUAAACAUCUCUGAGCUUUAGUUUCUUCAUCUCUAAAAUGAAGGUUAUCAUGAAAUAUAACCAUGAGGCUUGCUAUACUGAGCAUGGGACCAUAUGCACCCGGGAAGCAAAGAACAAGGGUGUUGUACUCUUUAUUGUCAUAUUAUUAAUGGUGGUGUGGAAGAUUUCACAAGUGAGGGAUCCAAUCUGUAAUAACUCAGAGAAGCAUCUCUCCCUGGCUAAUGUGAGGGACCAGGGACUGCUAGGGACUCAAUGUGUCCUCCCACAGUGUAUCAUUGUAAUCCCCAGUGUGAUGGUAUCAGGGUGUGGGGCCUUUGGAGGUAAUCAGGAUUAGAUUAAGUCACGAUGGUAUUAAUGCCCUUAUAAAAAGAGGAAAAGACACAAGAUCAAGAUCACUCCACUACUCUCCCUCCCUCUACUAUGUGUGAGGGCCCAGCAAGAAGGCAGGAAGAGGAUCCUUCCCAGCCUCCAGAACCAUGAGAAAUAAAUGUCUUCUUUAAGCC